GACGAACGCUGGCGGUGUGCUUAACACAUGCAAGUCGAACGGUAAGGCCCUUUCGGGGGUACACGAGUGGCGAACGGGUACGUAACACGUGAGUAACCUGCCCUCAUCUCUGGGAUAGCAGUCGGAAACGGUUGCUAAUACUGGAUAUGAGCUUGCAAGGCAUCUUGUGGGUUGGAAAGAUUUUUUUUGGUUGGGGAUGGACUCGCGGCCUAUCAGCUUGUUGGUGAGGUAGUGGCUCACCAAGGCUUCGACGGGUAGCCGGCCUGAGAGGGCGACCGGCCACAUUGGGACUGAGAUACGGCCCAAACUCCUACGGGAGGCAGCAGUGGGGAAUAUUGCACAAUGGACGGAAGUCUGAUGCAGCAACGCCGCGUGCGGGAUGACGGCCUUCGGGUUGUAAACCGCUUUCAAUUGUGACGAAGCUUUUUUGUGACGGUAGCAGUAGAAGAAGCACCGGCUAACUACGUG
rnacentral:rRNA from 1 species